rnacentral:rRNA from 1 species
UACGGGGGAUGCGAGCGUUAUCCGGAUUUAUUGGGUUUAAAGGGUGCGUAGGCUGCGCGACAAGUCGGCGGUGAAACCCCGGGGCUCAACCCCGGGCCUGCCGUCGAAACUGGCGCGCUGGAGUUCGGAUGCCGUGGGAGGAAUGAGUGGUGUAGCGGUGAAAUGCAUAGAUAUCACUCAGAACACCGAUUGCGAAGGCAUCUCACGAAUCCGAGACUGACGCUGAGGCACGAAAGCGUGGGGAUCAAACAGGAUUAGAUACCCUGGUAGUCCACGCAGUAAACGAUGAUGACUAACCGUCGGCGAUACACAGUCGGUGGCCAAGCGAAAGCGAUAAGUCAUCCACCUGGGGAGUACGACCGCAAGGUUGAA